UACGGGGGGGGCAAGCGUUGUUCGGAAUUACUGGGCGUAAAGGGCUCGUAGGUGGCCAACUAAGUCAGACGUGAAAUCCCUCGGCUUAACCGGGGAACUGCGUCUGAUACUGGAUGGCUUGAGUUUGGGAGAGGGACGCGGAAUUCCAGGUGUAGCGGUGAAAUGCGUAGAUAUCUGGAGGAACACCGGUGGCGAAGGCGACUUACUGGACACAUAUUGACGCUGAGGUGCGAAAGCGUGGGGAGCAAACAGG
rnacentral:rRNA from 1 species